AGACCCCUGUAGGGCCCCCUGUAGGGCCCCCUGUAGAGCCCCCUGUAGGGCCCCCUGUAGGGCCCCCUGUAGGGCCCCCUGUAGGGCCCCCUGUAGAUCCCCCUUGUCACCCUUGUUUCCCCCUUUCUUCGAAGAGGUUGUGAGGCAGAAAAGCUAAAAGAAAGAGCAGAAUAGAUCAUAUGCAUCACUGAAAGAGUGAGAUUACAGGCCGGUCCCACACUAAACCCGCCUUGCUGUCUUCUUUACCGUCUUGGAAGGCGAAUGUCAUUUAAUCUCUGAGUGUAGACCUGUGUCAUCUGCAUGAGCAUGAUCUAUAAAAUCCUAUCAGAUCCA